rnacentral:rRNA from 1 species
CCUACGGGUGGCAGCAGUGAGGAAUAUUGGUCAAUGGACGAGAGUCUGAACCAGCCAAGCAGCGUGAAGGAUGACUGCCCUAUGGGUUGUAAACUUCUUUUAUAUGGGAAUAAAAUGUUCCACGUGUGGGAUUUUGUAUGUACCAUAUGAAUAAGGAUCGGCUAACUCCGUGCCAGCAGCCGCGGUAAUACGGAGGAUCCGAGCGUUAUCCGGAUUUAUUGGGUUUAAAGGGAGCGUAGGUGGAUUGUUAAGUCAGUUGUGAAAGUUUGCGGCUCAACCGUAAAAUUGCAGUUGAAACUGGCAGUCUUGAGUACAGUAGAGGGGGGCGGAAUUCGUGGUGUAGCGGUGAAAUGCUUAGAUAUCACGAAGAACUCCGAUUGCGAAGGCAGUUCACUGGACUGCAACUGACACUGAGGCUCGAAAGUGUGGGUAUCAAACAGGAUUAGAUACCCGUGUAGUG